GAUGCCGUCUGUCUGUCUGUCUGUCUGUCUGUCUGUCUGUCUGUCUGUCUGUCUUCAGCCUCUGCACGGACAGACAGACAGACAGACAGACAGACAGGCAGACAGGCU
rnacentral:pre_miRNA from 1 species